GUCGAGUGUGAUUUGCAAAUUUUUGAUUUUUUCGUUUGGAUACUGAUUUCGCUCAAGAAAAGCUAUAUUCCGCUCAAGAAAAGGUAUAAAUGGUAUUGGAUAAGUGACUCUAAGUGUUGCUAAAGGCUUAUUGAUCUCAGGUAUGUAUUAUUACUCUUUAUAUCAUAUAAUUAUAACGUCCAUCGACCCUAUUAUUUCAUUUUAUCUUGUGGCUGUACUAGCCUGAACAUGUGGCUGCUAAAAUUUGAAUUUGCGCACACAAGAUUUUAUAUAUUGAAAUUAUUUCAUUUCAAUGCCGCCAAAUAUUAGUUAAAACCAGCAAUUCAAAUUUUGAAUAAGCACAUUAUAUAGUGUAUUAUUUGAAACAAUAUGUGAAAUGUGAACAUGAAUGUAAAAUUUGGGUUUGCUACAAAAUGGCUUGCAAACCUAUUCAUACCAAAACAUGAGAUUAUUUGAGAGUAUGAAUUAAAUUAUGUUCUUUUAAUCACCUCUCCCCUGGAAUGCCUGUAUUUCCAAGGUCUUUCAAGUCAUUGAGUGCCAGCUAUCUCCCCUUGACAAGUAAAAUCACCUAGGCAUUAAUUCUGCCUAGGGUUACUGGCCGGGUUAGACAGAGUAAAAUUAGUGGUGUUUUCACUACAAUUAAACCUUGACCUAGCCUUGGCCAGGCCAAGGUAAAUGUGGCACGUUUACACCAUUACACUAUUUUUUUGAGACAGGCCCGCUUUGGCCAAGAAUUUUGGUAUUAAUUUUGUGUAUUUUUAUGUGUUGUCAUGUUGGCCGCUGGUUGUCUGCUAAUCUCUCACUGUGGACACACAUUGCCAUAAAAAUAAGGCCCCGGCCAGGGCCGAAAGUGUUUACAUUUACACAAGCUUAGGCCAGGUCUGUUGUAGUGAGCCCAGAUUUCCUGGCCUAGGUCAGGUCAAGGCUAGGCCAUUUCCACAAGCCUAGGCUUAGGCCAAGUCGGUUGUAGACUUGUAGUGAGCCCAGAUUUCCUGGCCUAGGUCAGGACAGGGCUAGGCCAAAGUCUGUUUACACUGUCAAAAUGUUGGCCAAGGCUGGUAGUGUAAACAAGACUAUUGAAUGCAUCAAGGCACAUUACGACUAAAUGAUUAGUGUUUCCCACAAUAUGGUAAAAAAGUAUAAACUUUUGCUAGCUUGAGCUUGAAGGAUCUUCCAAGCUAAACCCUUCUAGAGUAUACCCUGUAUAUAUGUGCCUUUUUAUAUGAUAAUGGCACGAAUGGACAGUAGGUUAUAAUCCAGGAUGGUGUGUUUAAUAUAGACACAAUACACCCCACCUGGCAGGGAUGAUAGAGUGCUUAUAUUCAUGAGAGUUUCUUGUCCUGGCAGGUGGGAUCCUGUCUAGGCCAGAUAGAAGUAGAAUAAUUCACUAAACAGUUGAUACAGUUCAUAUUGCAAGCUGGGUCAUGCCGGCGGGAUCAUAAUAAUUACAAAGUGGCUACAUUAUGAUGUUUAUGAUGUUACUCUGAGUGUAUAUCCACACCGGGCAAGCUUGAAAAAUAUGCCUGACCAUGGUGGGAAUCGAACCUACAACCUUUGGAAUACUAGCCUGGCAAUACUCUGCCAACUGAGCUAAGCGGUCAGAUCGGUUCGAAUAUGUGAUAUUUCGGAACAGAAUCUAGUUCCUUCGAUAUCAAUGUAAUCGAAGGAACUAGAAAAAUCAUUACUGAUUAUUAGAUUACAUUGAUAUUGGAGGAACUAGAUUCUGUUCCGAAAUAUCACAUACUGUAUUUGAAUCAAUCUGUCCGCGUAGGUCAGUUGGCAGAGCAUUGGGCUAGUAUUCCAAAGGUCAUAGGUUCGAUUCCCACCAUGGUCAGGCAUAUUUUUUAAUUACGCUUGCCCGGUGUGGAUAUAUACUCAGCGUAACAUCACAAGCAUCAUAUUCCUGAGUACAUUACACCAACACAGAAAAAUCAUUACUGGCUACAGUAUAUCUACAGGUCCUUAAACAGACUUUGCCAGGCUAUAUUUACAGGCUUACAGCACUCUUACGUACUAAACCAGAACUAUAAAAUUUAUUGUCAAUGAAGGAUUUCAGCGAGCUCAAAAAUAGAUCAGAAGCUUAGGCAGAUGGCUGCUGUGCUGUAGUCUGUGGUUCAAACCCGAGUUGGGACAGGUUUUUGUUCAACUUAACUAAAAAUGUUUAACUUUUUUUCUGAUUAGUUUUAUUUUUGGGGGUAGAGGUUAGGGUUAGUUUUUUUUAAUUUGUCUUUAACAAUAAAUACAACCUGUGUGGAGAUUAAGAAUGAGAGUGCCAUAAAUAUACCUUGGUGAAGUUCGUUUACAGGCUUGAAGAUAUAGCCACUUUGUAAUAAUUAUUUACAAAAGCAAUUUAAUUUUUAAAUGGAUCAAAUGAUUGGAUAAUUACUGCAGACUUUAUAAAAACAGUCUAAGCUUACAACGGCAUAAAACUAGUAUUCUUUUUACAUGUGCAUCCAAAGCUAGAUUGAAUUAACUUAUAAAUAACUAUUAAUUACAAGAGUAUGCACCAGCAUACUUGAUGAUCUACUUAGCCUUGAGAGUAAAAUGGUCUGGCAUUAGACAGAGUACAAUAAUCUGGCAUUUAAAAGACAGUAAAAUAAGGAAGUAGGACACACAAGGGUACAAUACAACUUAAUGGGUUCACUAGACACAUCGCCAUAUUAACCCAACAAAACGGGAAUACCCUGUACAAGAAGUUUGGCAGGUCAUUAAGAUGGGGAGUUAACUGGAUAUUAUACUAGGCCGGACAUGGCAUAAGCUGCAUUGUGCCACAACUUUAUUCUUUUACUCUGUCUGAUGGGUUGUUCCAGAAAAGAUCUACACUCCCCUGGGCACAGAGGAAAUUUCAACCGUCCGGAGGGGAGGCGAGGGGAGAAAAAAUUGUUUCUGAAGUGUAUAAGGACAUUUGAAUUUCGAAGGGGAUAGGGGGUUAACUUCCAAUUUCCUUCAUGGGGGAGGUUACAUGUAGGUAUCGAUGUUCGCUGGAAUGACCCAAUGUCAGAUGAUUUUACUUGUCAGUUAUAUCACUCAGUGGGUCACUGAAACAAGUAGCACUCCUCUCCAAUAUAACUAAGGUUAUAUCAUAUAAUCUUUUGAAUCUAUUCAAUGUUUUCUGGAACGAGCCAAUAGCAUAUUAAAUCACAAAUGCCAACAACCAGUAGCAGAUACCUCACAAAAUGUUGGGGGUGCUGUUGAGAUGUCUGUUAACAAAUCCUAUCUAGUGCAUAUUUCUCUUGUUAACCCAUUCACUGGCAAUAUGCUCUACUUUAUAUUACUCUGUCUAAUGGCAGGAAAUUUUACAGUUUUACUUGUUGAGAAGAUAGCCUUGCAGCAGUUUCCAAUUUGCCAUGUAUCGCCCAAACAGAGAAUACAUUACUGGGGACGAGUCAGGGUAAAAGCCAUAUGAACCAAGGGUUAUCAAUUAUGAUAAUACUAGAAACAACGUCAACCAAAGGUUGGGUUGUGCUACUAACUACAUUUAUUUAGGUCUUCCCAUUCGUAAUAAGGUGCAAAGUUUAUAGGUUGGAUAGGAGGAAAUUGCUCAUAUUGCUGCAUGUGAACUUGUGCUAUAUACUGUAAUGUUAACUGACUGUGGAGUUCCAGUACCGGUACCUGAAAUACAUUAUGUGCGGCUAAUGAUAGUCCUGUAUUUCCUUUCUUGUAGCUCAUGUGACUAAACAUUUUGCGGGAGCAACAGCCUCAUCAGUGAAAGCUGCCAUGGCCCAAAAGUGCAAAGACAAAAGAAAUGCUGAUAUGAAAAGAAGAAAAAUUGCAAAAGACAUUUGAACUGCUAAGUUUUUUCCUUAUUAUAAAUUAUUUUGUAUGGUAGCUAAACAUUUGUAGAAAUUAACUGUAUAAAUAAAUUAUUUAAACUUC